CCUACGGGAGGCAGCAGUGAGGAAUAUUGGUCAAUGGGCUUACGCCUGAACCAGCCAAGUCGCGUGAGGGAAGACUGCCCUAUGGGUUGUAAACCUCUUUUGUCAGGGAGCAACGCCGGCUACGUGUAGCCGGACUGAGAGUACCUGAAGAAAAAGCAUCGGCAAACUCCGUGCCAGCAGCCGCGGUAAUACGGAGGAUGCGAGCGUUAUCCGGAUUCAUUGGGGUUAGGGGGUGCGUAGGCGGAAUGCCAAGUCAGCGGUAAAAUCGAGGGGCGCAACCGCGCCCGGCCGUGGAAACUGGCGUUCUUGAGUGGGGGAGAGGUAUGCGGAAUGCGUGGUGUAGCGGUGAAAUGCGUAGAUA
rnacentral:rRNA from 1 species